UACGUAGGGUGCAAGCGUUAAUCGGAAUUACUGGGCGUAAAGCGUGCGCAGGCGGCUUUGCAAGUCAGAUGUGAAAUCCCCGGGCUUAACCUGGGAACUGCAUUUGUGACUGCAUGGCUGGAGUGCGGCAGAGGGGGAUGGAAUUCCGCGUGUAGCGGUGAAAUGCGUAGAUAUGCGGAGGAACACCAGUGGCGAAGGCAAUCCCCUGGGCCUGCACUGACGCUCAGGCACGAAAGCGUGGGGAGCAAACAGG
rnacentral:rRNA from 1 species